UUUCACCACCUUUCUAUCCUCCCUGUUACCAGCAAAAAGAAACACUGACAUUGGUGUUCUUUUCUCCAGGUGGCUUACAUCCUCUAAAGCAACAUCCAAAUCUGUGUGCCAAUGACUUGAGCCAGAGGACCCAGGGAGAAAGUGGCCACCUUGAUCACGGUGUGCAGUCAUAGCCCCAUUUGCCUGCCCCUUGCCAGCCAGGAGAGGAGCUUCACAGUUAAAUCCAAAUUAGGCCCCUCUGUUCUGCAGAUCUGGAAACAUUCAUGGUCCUGGUAAAAUUCAUCAUCUGCACAUUUGAAAAUUAGGAGAACAUCUUUUCAAUUUCUGUAAUCAUAGAGAACUUGUCUGAACAGGGCAAGAAGAGGAAGUCUGCUUUCGAUUUCAGUCAUCUGGAAACAUUAGAGCUCCAAGCUAAGAUCUCUCCAAUUUUCUCAUAGGGUAACCCCAGUACCAGCAUAUAGGAAGUACCUAGUGAGUGUUGAUUGGAAGAGAGGAUGAAGAAUAAUUUCAUUUCAGUUAUUAUCUCUCCACUUGAAAUUGCUACCUGUGAUUUGAAGAGGAUACGUUGCACCAUCAACCAUCAAAACAUCUCUUGGCCCUCCCUGGUGGCGCAGCCGGUUAAAGCACAGCACUGAGAAUCUAAAGCCGUUUCCGCAUGAGUUCGA